AAAGCUGGGUAGUAGACAGCAGUAAUAAAUAAAAAGUGCGGAAUAAAUUGUCCACGUAUACGGUGUACGAAGAGCGCAACAGGCAAAUUAGCUUUCACUUGAAUAAUCGGUGCACUAACGGAGGAGCUCGCUUUGAUAUAUUUUGUGUUAUAAUGUUGGUUAAAGCUGUAAUUUUAAUUGGAGGCAAUCAGAAAGGUACACGAUUUCGCCCCUUAUCUUUGGACCUUCCUAAACCACUAUUUUCAGUUGCUGGGUUUCCUAUAAUUCAACACCACAUUGAAGCAUGUGUACAGAUUCCUUUUUUGAAGGAAAUCAUAAUUCUUGGAUACUAUGGUGUCAGCGAAAUGUCCCAGUUUGUAGGAGAAAUGGUGCAACUUUACAAGCUAAAUAUAAGGUAUCUUCAAGAAUUUGAACCUCUGGGAACUGCAGGUGGUCUAUACCACUUUCGUGAUCAAAUACGCUGUGGAAACCCAGAUUUCUUUUUUGUGUUGAAUGGAGAUGUCUGUGCUGAUUUCCCUUUGAUUGAGAUGCUUGAAUUCCACAAGACCCAUAGAGAAACACAGAAAGCAAUAGUUACCUUAAUGGCAACUGAAGCUACUCGCCAGCAAAGUCUUAUAUAUGGUUGUAUAAUUGAAAAUAAAGAAAAUAACACACUGGAACAUUAUGUUGAAAAACCAUCCACUUUCAUCUCAACAUUGGUGAAUUGUGGUGUUUACAUUUUCUCCCCGGAGGUUUUUCAUCAAAUGGCGAACGUUUUCAACAAGAAACAAAUGGAUUUUUAUAAUGUGGAAAACGGAAGCAGUAUUGAAAGGGAGGCGUUGUACUUGGAAAAAGAAAUUCUGAUGCCAUUGGCGGGGACUGGAAAAGCUCUUGUUUAUCAAACCGUUAAGUGGUGGUCUCAGUUAAAGACUCCCGGUGCGGCAAUAUACGCAAAUCGACACUAUCUUAACCUUUUCCGAGAAAGAAGACCUGAAAGAUUAGCCAAAAGCGUUCAGCCGACAAUAAUAGGUGAUGUUUACAUUCAUGCAACUGCUAAUGUCCAUCCGACCGCCGUAUUAGGUCCAAAUGUUAGCAUUGGUGCCCAUGCGACAAUCGGUUAUGGAACUCGAAUAAAGGAAUCGAUUGUUCUGGCUCAUUCACGAAUAUUGGACCAUUCUCUAGUUCUAUAUAGUAUUAUCGGAGCAAAUAGUGAAAUAGGGUGCUGGACGCGGGUGGAGGGAACUCCGUGUGAUCCUAAUCCAGAUAAACCAUUCGCCAAAAUGGAAAAUGCUCCCCUUUUUAACGACGAGGGAAGGUUAAAUCCCUCUAUAACCAUCCUGGGUAAUAAUGUGACAAUUCCAUCUGAAGUUAUUGUCCGUAAUUCUAUUGUGUUACCUCACAAAGAGUUGACACGAAGCUAUAAUAACGAAAUCAUUUUAUAAUGAACCCUGUCUCCUGGCAAACCACAGAUUUUGUGCUUGAACGAAAUUUCUGUUCAACGAAUUCGGAUCAAUUAAAUGUUCCAUAAACAAUUUGGAUUGCA
rnacentral:misc_RNA from 1 species